AAGGCAGCAGUGGGGAAUAUUGCACAAUGGGCGCAAGCCUGAUGCAGCCAUGCCGCGUGUAUGAAAAAGGCCUUCGGGUUGUAAAGUACUUUCAGUCGUGAGGAAGGUGUUAAGGUUAAUAACCUUAGCAAUUGACGUUAGCGACAGAAGAAGCACCGGCUAACUCCGUGCCAGCAGCCGCGGUAAUACGGAGGGUGCGAGCGUUAAUCGGAAUUACUGGGCGUAAAGGGCACGCAGGCGGUUAAUUAAGUUGGAUGUGAAAUCCCCGGGCUUAACCUGGGAAUGGCAUUCAAGACUGGUUAGCUAGAGUCUUGUAGAGGGGGUAGAAUUCCAUGUGUAGCGGUGAAAUGCGUAGAGAUGUGGAGGAAUCCGGUGGCGAAGGCGGCCCCUGGACAAAGGCUGACGCUCAUGUGCGAAAGCGUGGGGAGCAAAC
rnacentral:rRNA from 1 species